GUCGAGCGAAUCGAUGGGAGCUUGCUCCCUGAGAUUAGCGGCGGACGGGUGAGUAACACGUGGGCAACCUGCCUAUAAGACUGGGAUAACUUCGGGAAACCGGAGCUAAUACCGGAUACGUUCUUUUCUCGCAUGAGAGAAGAUGGAAAGACGGUUUACGCUGUCACUUAUAGAUGGGCCCGCGGCGCAUUAGCUAGUUGGUGAGGUAAUGGCUCACCAAGGCGACGAUGCGUAGCCGACCUGAGAGGGUGAUCGGCCACACUGGGACUGAGACACGGCCCAGACUCCUACGGGAGGCAGCAGUAGGGAAUCUUCCGCAAUGGACGAAAGUCUGACGGAGCAACGCCGCGUGAACGAAGAAGGCCUUCGGGUCGUAAAGUUCUGUUGUUAGGGAAGAACAAGUACCAGAGUAACUGCUGGUACCUUGACGGUACCUAACCAGAAAGCCACGGCUAACUACGUGCCAGCAGCCGCGGUAAUACGUAGGUGGCAAGCGUUGUCCGGAAUUAUUGGGCGUAAAGCGCGCGCAGGUGGUUCCUUAAGUCUGAUGUGAAAGCCCACGGCUCAACCGUGGAGGGUCAUUGGAAACUGGGGAA
rnacentral:rRNA from 2 species